AUUGAACGCUGGCGGCAUGCCUUACACAUGCAAGUCGAACGGUAACAGGUCUUCGGAUGCUGACGAGUGGCGAACGGGUGAGUAAUACAUCGGAACGUGCCUAGUAGUGGGGGAUAAUUACUCGAAAGAGUGGCUAAUACCGCAUGAGAUCUACGGAUGAAAGCAGGGAAUCGCAAGACCUUGUGCUACUAGAGCGGCCGAUGGCAGAUUAGGUAGUUGGUGGGAUAAAAGCUUACCAAGCCGACGAUCUGUAGCUGGUCUGAGAGGACGAUCAGCCACACUGGGACUGAGACACGGCCCAGACUCCUACGGGAGGCAGCAGUGGGGAGUUUUGGACAAUGGGCGAAAGCCUGAUCCAGCAAUGCCGCGUGCAGGGUGAAGGCCUUCGGGUUGUAAACUGCUUUUGUACGGAACGAAAAGCCCCGGGUUAAUACCCUGGGGUCAUGACGGUACCGUAAGAAUAAGCACCGGCUAACUACGUGCCAGCCGCCGCGGUAA
rnacentral:rRNA from 1 species